CAUUGUGUGGAAGAGCAGGGAGAUGCAUCCUCUUGGCUGUCCCUGGCUGCUUUGUGUGGAAAUCCAAUGUCCUCUCAGGGUUACAGCAUAAUAAUUUACAGACUGUACUUGCUGCCAAGCCUCUGCUGCCCUGAAAGGCUGUUU